CGGCGGGGCUGAAGCUGGAGUCCCGCGACUCCGGGCUGCAGACCGGCGACCCCGCCGGGUUCACGCUCGCCGACACGCUGGCCUGCGGCGCCGUCGGCCACAUCAUCGGCGUCGGCAUCGUGCUCGGGCUCAAGAACACCGGCGCGCUCGACCAGAUCAUCGGCUGAAGUGUUUGUUUGGCUGCCUAUCGCUCGCGCCGCCGCCUAUGUAACCUGCGUGCGUGUGCAU
rnacentral:lncRNA from 1 species